CUGCUGCCACGCACGCUCGUCUCUCCUCCUUUCCCCCAAAUCUACCAAACCUUAUCUGUUCUUCUUUCAAUAAAUCGACCAGUCCUCUGUUCUCCUCCCUUUCCCAAAUCAACCAGGUCUUUCACUCGCGCUUCUCGCUGCUGCCAACCGCUGGCCGCCGGCCUUGCCAACUUCCGCUGCCAUCCGUAGCGAGGGCCCUCCAGGACGCCACGACGGGUGUGGGGUGUCUGCUGAUGUUUGCUGCUUCUUCUCCUUCCCUCACUACCUUCUCCGCUCGUGUUGCCUGCUGCCGCCGACUGAUAAACUAAUCGGUGAACUGUUGUUGAAGGGCCGAAGGAGCAAGACUGCUGCAAGAGGAAGGUAACACUGGCGAAACAGCAAACCAUGGUCCAGGAAAGCAUAUAUGUAGUUAUUGGCCAUAUGCAGGCAUCUUUUGGUCAGUCUGGUGUGUUCUAUAGUUGUGGCCAUGGACAACUUUUGGCCAGUCCGAUGUAUUCUACAGUUGAGGCAAUGGAGCACUUUUGGCCAGUCUGGUGUAUUCUAUAGUUGUGGCAAUGGAGUGGUCAUUAUCCACAAUACCAGGUAUGUUGUUGCUACAAUGUAUCUAUGUGAACAUAAAUAGUGAGCACUGGAUAAUAGUAGUAAUUAUAUAUACACAAUGUAUAUUUUGUUCCAGUCUAUGCUAUGACAUUGUGAGCCGCAUCUAUUUUGUGCACAUUUUGCUUUGUAUUUGAAAUCCCCUCCCUCUUUGCUGCUUGUCAUGCUCAGACACUGACAUAUAGGACAAAUUAACCAUACACAAUACAUGUACAUAUGAACUAAAAUACAAUGGGCAUCCUAAAGCUAACAUGGGAAAAUAAUGGAACAACCUGAAAGAAAGAAUGCAGCAAAUGGAAAGCAUAUAAUAAUGGUCUAUAAAAACCUAGCUCUUUUUUCAGCAAAAAGAAUCAGUUAUUUCUGGUUCCCUAAUUCUAGAGCUACAUAUUUCCGGUUCUUGCAAUUUAUCUGCGAUAAUCUGAUAAAGUACAACAUGCACCAACUGAACAUUUGCUAGUAUAGCUAAAAUCUGAAGCUAUCCGACACAAGGACCAUCCAAUUUUCCAAGACAGUUAGUCACUAUGUGUGAACAAGGCCAGAGGACUAAAAUAUAAAAAGCAAGCUAAGUAUUCAUCAGCAGAUUUUUCUUGUGCUUGCUAUAUGUCUGAAACAAACAAUAGUCAAAGAAUGUACUUACGAACAGACGUAAGCAGACACCAUAUCAAUAGCUAACAGCAUCACACAGCAACCCGAUCACACAUCAAGAUGGAUUGAUGGAAAUGGAAAGAUAAAGUAUGCUCUGGCAGUAGAACCAAAAUUUCCUAACCUGUAACCAUGAAAAAUAUCUGAAUACAACAAAUUAUGUCUCAUCCAUGCCAUCUAAAGAUUCUGAACCAUCCAAACAAAUUUUAUACCAAGAUUGUGGAUGCAUUCCUGCAAAAGAAUAAGAUAAAGAAAAUGCAAUAAAAAACCUCAAGUGUAGGUUUGUUUGAAAUUCAGAUAUUUUGCACAUACCUUCUUUAUGAAUCUCCAAAGAAUCAAAUAUAAAUGAUGAGAAGGAUAUCAGGAUUGUCCUAGUAGAUAUGGAAUCCGAAUAGAAGUAAGCCACGAUUCCUUGCUUCCAUUGCCGCAUUUCACUCGUAACAGAGGCUUUGAAAACAAAUAUCCUUUGCUUAUUCGUGCUACUGUUGGAUCUAUGAGGCUAGGAAGACAGACCUUUUCGUUACGCAUUUAGCCAUAUUAGAUACCUGAAAAUUGAAAAAAGCCAAUUGAUAUGAGCACAUGAAACUACAAGAAGAUACCAACUCCUAGAUACUUUGCACUUUGAAUAUUUUAUUAAGUGAAUCUGUAAGACAUGCAGAUUAUGAAUAUCAAAUAUCUUCCCUAUGGUCUUAAAUGUGGGUCUAGAUGAAUAAACAUAUUAGUCAUUUGCAUUAGGAUUGGUAAGAUUCUAAUCACCCUAGACAAUAUAUGAAGUGCAAUUGUUUGACUUGUUCUAUAUCCAAUUUCAAUUGCUUUGUUCUAUGAAAUAAGGAAGACAAAGUGUAGUCUGAUUAGGAUGCAAGUCAAUUUUUAGGUUUUCAAGCAAGGGCUGACAUAGAUAUACAAACCAGAAGAAUUUCCCCCAUUUGAAUUACUUUAUAUGUUCACUACCAGUUUCAAAUGACAAAAGGAGCAAGUGAAAGUAAAAGAAAAGUGCAUAAAAGAAAAGGUACUCGCUUGAACAGAUCUGCAAAGCUUCAUACUUGUAUCAAUGUGCUUUGUAAUAAGCAUUACUGCAUUAGUAUACAAAUAGAAACAUCAUGAUACAUAAAGAUAGGCCAGGGACAUAUGUGUUACCUUGCAAAGCACCACAGGUUUGGCCAUCAUGUUUGCGCCACCUCUCCUAGUUUUCCGGUAGGAACAAAAAAUUAAAAUAUGUCGUGUUUUUUUCGCUACCACCACCAAACCCCAAACAACAUUUAAGAAAACCCAACAGCAUUUAAGAAAGCCCAACAGUACUGAUGCAUUUACCAUUCCAAUCCUUAUAAUACUAAACUGAAAUCUGAUUCUCUUGGAGGUUUGAAAAUAUUCGAAAAGAUCCAUCUUUGUAAUGCCAUUAACGAUUCAUGAGUACAAAAAUCGCCAAAUAGACCAAAAAAUUGCUAGAAGUAGCUCAGUUCAAGUGCUACAACAGGAACCUGCGUAUAUAAAUAUAACCGUAGUUCGAAGAGGUGGGCGCUCACAUCUUUCUCCACUGUCGGCUGUCACCACAGGGCACCACUCCAACCCCUUUGUUAUCAGCAUAUACCUAAAUAUUGGUACAGCCAAAUUUACAAAAUUUAUAUAUAUUGUAUGAUAACAAUAAAAAGUAUUUUUUUAGGCUAUAAACCAAAGGUGAUUGUCCAAAGUUUAUAUGCUGCUAUCAACUAUCUCUCUAUAUAUAGUGCACGUGCUCAACCAUUUUAUUUUAACUAUACAACUAACGCCUGUUAGCACAAGCGUAGAACAUAAAAUAGCUUGUUUAUCCUCUUGGCAAUAAAUUAAAACAGCGAACCCCAGUUUCUAGUUUUGCGUGUUUCGCUCGAAGAAAAAAUGUAAAUGAAAGUGAAAGCUCAGCCCAUUGCAUGAAUAGCUACUAUAUUAUUGGAAUCUGGAAAUUCUGGCUCACAUAUUGUUUGCCUUCAACCUUCGAAAAUUUAAACUGAAGAGUGGAGCGAUGUGGAAACCUAAGUAGCAGCAAUUUGUUUUCUGCUAACCUCCCUCUCAGAUAUCACUUCCUUCACCAACAAAAUAGAUGUGCACCCACAGGAUAAAAAUCCAUGUGUGUAGACCUAGCAAUGCAUGUGUGAGCUCAGAGUGUCGUUUUUUCGGCAAGGACAUGAAAGGUAACCCUUAACUAACCCUUGACAUCUGGCAGAAUUAAACACUACCUGCUUAUGUGCCCUCACCAACACGCUUCAUAUUGAUUUAGGAUGGUCUUGUCUAAAGCUAAAUUGUCUUCAUGUUCAUGCUGCAAUUUUCUUUGCCUUCAAACAAUAAAUUGUAGAUGUGGAAACAGUAGAGAAUAGUCUAUAUGCGCACCAAAUGAGGGCAACAGAAGUAUCACCCAUAUGAAAAACGUCACUAUGCGAGCAUAAAUUUUCAGGAAAUGAUAGCAUGGUGAGAUUCAUCGUGUAAUAAUGAUUAUAAGCACAGACAUACAUUUGAACAAACAGAAGAUUAAGAAAGGGGAACAUGCAACAAAAAAAGCUUUAGAAAAGCAGUACUAAUUUCACCUCUGCAACAGAGAAAGUACAAUUAGUUGGCAUUUCCUACUGAUGGCUAAUUGCCUGAAUAAAAAAUGAGCAGUAGGUAUAAUGAUGGUGUUAUUUUCUUCCGCAAGCACCAAAACUUCGCCAAAAAGGUAAAAUAUAUUGGGAGCAUUGUACCUUUAUUUUCGCUAUAAUCCUUGCUCUUGCUUCUAGAAUAUAUGAUGGCAAUGCGAGCUAGCCAGCGUCUUCAUAUUAGUCCUAUCCAAAAAGCACACCAAAGUUAACAGUUGGAUUGAUUGUAUUAUCUCUGAAAUGCCAUUAUCAGAAAUUUAGCUGAUGCUUAAUAGUAAAUAGAAGUGCAGGGCUUGCUUAUCACACUUACUUAGGACUCAUGGGCCUUAUCUAAUUCCCCUCCAAAGCAAACCAUCUUUCUAUGCGAAAUGGGCAAAUGUGUAGGCAAAAAUGCUAUAUACCAAAGAGUAUAUGGCAAUCUAAACUGAAGUGCUACUCACAAGAAACCGAAUAUGAUAACAUGUUGUUGCUUGCUCUAAUAAUAAAUAAGGUGUUGGAAAGGAGGGGGGUCUAUUUUAUUAUACAGUUUAGUUUAGUGAUCUGAUAAAAAAUAAGGGCAUGUCCAAACCAGACAUGCGCAAGAGCCUCAAAUCCAUCAGGACACUUUGGUUAGAUCAGAAUGAGCAGAAAUGAAAAAUAGUGGCAAAUUCAGCACAAGGGAAAACAAGUUUUGCAUCUACACAACAGUGAAGCAAGGUAAUGAGCUAAAUUAGUGGACCUAGCACAUAUCUGAUUCACUCUACACUGUAGGCUUACAUAGCAUCACAGUAAUCUCCGGUCACUCAUACGAAACCAAGCAAAUUGAAGACCAAGAUUUGCAUAUGGUAAAUGAAGGAAUGAAGCCAUACAUGCAGGAGAAAUUCGUCGCAUCGUGUUGCAAAACCAGAAAAGUAAAACCAAACCCCCUCUCCUAGAGCCUCUUCCCUAUGAUUUUCUUAGACACCAUGGGAAUGAUGAGGGCAGAAGUUUAGAGCUAGCAUGGAAAGGGACACCAUGGUACAUUGAAAAGGAGAGGCUCUUUGUACAGCAAAACAGCUCAGUGCACUCGGCGGGCAAGGUUGCGGAAGGAGGGUUGCUGCCAUCAGGGUAGGAAUCAACCCUCACCCAAACCC
rnacentral:rRNA from 1 species